GGAAGGAUCAUUACCGUGUGUUAUCCCUCCCGGCCCUCCCCUUGUGAAUGUAAUCUGCUAGUUAGUGAACUUUUGGAUCUGUUAAUAAUAAAUGAUUAGCAAGGAGAAAUAGUACCACUAGCUAGUAUUCAAUAAUUCAUCUAUGUCCAGAGUGUGUAAUAAACCAAACUAUUACAACUUUUAGCAAUGGAUCUCUUGGCUCUCGCAUCGAUGAAGAACGCAUCGAAUUGCGAUAAGUAAUGUGAAUUGCAUAUUUUCAGUGAAUCAUCUUAUCUUUGAACGCACCUUGCACUCUUUGGUAUUCCCAACAGUAUGCCUGUUUGAGUGUCAUUUAUAUUAAUCAAACUACCAUUGAUGUGAAUGGGAUAGUUUGGAGGUGGGGACUUGCUGGCUAGUUCCUAAUCGGCUUUCCUUAAAUUCAUUAGGACAUGGUACAGCCCUAUUGUAUGUGAUAAUGAUCAUCCAACCUGGAAGUGUUUGAUUUAUGAUGGAUAGAUAUCUCUAUCUAUCUAAUUAAUGAUACCAUGACCUCAAAUCAGGUAGGACUACCCGCUGAACUUAAGCAUAUCAAUAAGCGGAGGAA
rnacentral:rRNA from 1 species